UACGUAGGGUGCAAGCGUUAAUCGGAAUUACUGGGCGUAAAGCGUGCGCAGGCGGUUCUAUAAGACAGAUGUGAAAUCCCCGGGCUCAACCUGGGAACUGCAUUUGUGACUGUAGAGCUGCAGUGCGGCAGAGGGGGAUGGAAUUCCGCGUGUAGCAGUGAAAUGCGUAGAUAUGCGGAGGAACACCGAUGGCGAAGGCAAUCCCCUGGGCCUGCACUGACGCUCAUGCACGAAAGCGUGGGGAGCAAACAGG
rnacentral:rRNA from 1 species